CACUCCUACGGGAGGCAGCAGUGGGGAAUUUUGGACAAUGGGCGAAAGCCUGAUCCAGCAAUGCCGCGUGAGUGAAGAAGGCCUUCGGGUUGUAAAGCUCUUUUGUCAGGGAAGAAACGGUGAGAGCUAAUAUCUCUUGCUAAUGACGGUACCUGAAGAAUAAGCACCGGCUAACUACGUGCCAGCAGCCGCGGUAAUACGUAGGGUGCAAGCGUUAAUCGGAAUUACUGGGCGUAAAGCGUGCGCAGGCGGUUUUGUAAGUCUGAUGUGAAAUCCCCGGGCUCAACCUGGGAAUUGCAUUGGAGACUGCAAGGCUAGAAUCUGGCAGAGGGGGGUAGAAUUCCACGUGUAGCAGUGAAAUGCGUAGAUAUGUGGAGGAACACCGAUGGCGAAGGCAGCCCCCUGGGUCAAGAUUGACGCUCAUGCACGAAAGCGUGGGGAGCAAACAGGAUUAGAUACCCCGGUAGUCCCAUGA
rnacentral:rRNA from 1 species